rnacentral:lncRNA from 1 species
UUAUAUUAUUCGAUAUUACUUGGUAUUCUCUUAUUAUUUAUUUCAGGUAACAUUAUUUGAAGCAUGUGUGAAAAAGAAAGAAAAGGGGUGCAAAAAGAGGAUUCUCUAGGAAAAGCAUCUCACUAAAGCCCAACCCACGUUUGGGGCAAGCAAAAUGGUUGUGACGACCGCCACACUCACGUGCCGAGCGUCACGCCCCUUUACCUAGUGUUACGACCGUAACACAUAGUGUG